rnacentral:rRNA from 1 species
UAAACCAGGAUUAGAUACCCUAUUAUACUUAGAUGAAAGUUCUUAAGGUAGUACUUGUUAUAAUCUUGAAACCUAAAAGGUAUGGCGGUACUUAGUUGAAUCAGAGGAACCUGCCCAGUAAGCGAUAACCCCCGAUAUAUCUUACCUUUUUCAGGUUUGUAUACCGUCGUCUAAGUUAUAUUCAUAGAUUAAGAGCUGGAAGCAGGGAUAAGGAAUUCAGAUCUAGGCGCAGCUUAAAAAGGUUAAGGUGGGUUACAUUUAAACUUUUAAUGGAGAAAAAGGGUAAACUUUUAUGAAAUUGGAUUUGAAAGUAAUUUAGGUUAAUAAG